rnacentral:rRNA from 1 species
AGUGAACGCUGGCGGUAGGCCUAACACAUGCAAGUCGAACGGCAGCACAGUAAGAGCUUGCUCUUACGGGUGGCGAGUGGCGGACGGGUGAGGAAUACAUCGGAAUCUACUUUUUCGUGGGGGAUAACGUAGGGAAACUUACGCUAAUACCGCAUACGACCUACGGGUGAAAGCAGGGGAUCUUCGGACCUUGCGCGAUUGAAUGAGCCGAUGUCGGAUUAGCUAGUUGGCGGGGUAAAGGCCCACCAAGGCGACGAUCCGUAGCUGGUCUGAGAGGAUGAGCAGCCACACUGGAACUGAGACACGGUCCAGACUCCUACGGAAGGCAGCAGUGGGGAAUAUUGGACAAUGGGCGCAAGCCUGAUCCAGCCAUACCGCGUGGGUGAAGAAGGCCUUCGGGUUGUAAAGCCCUUUGUUGGGAAAGAAAAGCAGCAGGUUAAUACCCCGCUGUUCUGACGGUACCCAAAGAAUAAGCACCGGCUAACUUCGUG